rnacentral:rRNA from 1 species
GAUGAACGCUGGCGGCGUGCCUAAUACAUGCAAGUCGAGCGAACAGACGAGGAGCUUGCUCCUCUGACGUUAGCGGCGGACGGGUGAGUAACACGUGGAUAACCUACCUAUAAGACUGGGAUAACUUCGGGAAACCGGAGCUAAUACCGGAUAAUAUAUUGAACCGCAUGGUUCAAUAGUGAAAGACGGUUUUGCUGUCACUUAUAGAUGGAUCCGCGCCGCAUUAGCUAGUUGGUAAGGUAACGGCUUACCAAGGCAACGAUGCGUAGCCGACCUGAGAGGGUGAUCGGCCACACUGGAACUGAGACACGGUCCAGACUCCUACGGGAGGCAGCAGUAGGGAAUAUUCCGCAAUGGGCGAAAGCUUGACGGAGCAACGCCGCGUGAGUGAUGAAGGUCUUCGGAUCGUAAAGCUCUGUUAUUAGGGAAGAACAAAUGUGUAAGUAACUAUGCACGUCUUGACGGUACCUAAUCAGAAAGCCACGGCUAACUACGUG